rnacentral:rRNA from 1 species
AGGCAGCAGUAGGGAAUCUUCCACAAUGGGCGAAAGCCUGAUGGAGCAACGCCGCGUGGGUGAAGAAGGUCUUCGGAUCGUAAAACCCUGUUGUUAGAGAAGAAAGUGCGUGAGAGUAACUGUUCACGUUUCGACGGUAUCUAACCAGAAAGCCACGGCUAACUACGUGCCAGCAGCCGCGGUAAUACGUAGGUGGCAAGCGUUAUCCGGAUUUAUUGGGCGUAAAGGGAACGCAGGCGGUCUUUUAAGUCUGAUGUGAAAGCCUUCGGCUUAACCGGAGUAGUGCAUUGGAAACUGGGAGACUUGAGUGCAGAAGAGGAGAGUGGAACUCCAUGUGUAGCGGUGAAAUGCGUAGAUAUAUGGAAGAACACCAGUGGCGAAAGCGGCUCUCUGGUCUGUAACUGACGCUGAGGUUCGAAAGCGUGGGUAGCAAACAGGAUUAGAUACCCUGGUAGUCCACGCC